rnacentral:rRNA from 1 species
UACAGAGACUGCAAGCGUUAUUCGGAUUCAUUGGGCGUAAAGGGUGCGUAGGUGGCAUGGUAAGUCGGAUGUGAAAUCCCGGGGCUCAACCCCGGAACUGCAUUCGAUACUGCUGCGCUAGAGUACUGGAGAGGAGAUUGGAAUUUACGGUGUAGCAGUGAAAUGCGUAGAUAUCGUAAGGAAGACCAGUGGCGAAGGCGGAUCUCUGGACAGUUACUGACACUGAGGCACGAAGGCCAGGGGAGCAAACGGG